GUAGGUGGCAAGCGUUGUCAGGAAUUAUUGGGCGUAAAGCGCGCGCAGGUGGUUCUUUAAGUCUGAUGUGAAAGCCCCCGGGCUCAACCGGGGAGGGUCAUUGGAAACUGGGGAACUUGAGUGCAGGAGAGGAAAGUGGAAUUCCACGUGUAGCGGUGAAAUGCGUAGAUAUGUGGAGGAACACCAGUGGCGAAGGCGACUUUCUGGCCUGUAACUGACACUGAGGCGCGAAAGCGUGGGGAGCAAACAGGAUUAGAUACCCUGGUAGUCCACGCCGUAAACGAUGAGUGCUAAGUGUUGGGGGGUUUCCGCCCCUCAGUGCUGCAGCUAACGCAUUAAGCACUCCGCCUGGGGAGUACGGUCGCAAAGACUG
rnacentral:rRNA from 1 species